AGUGAACGCUGGCGGUAGGCCUAACACAUGCAAGUCGAACGGCAGCACAGGAGAGCUUGCUCUCUGGGUGGCGAGUGGCGGACGGGUGAGGAAUACAUCGGAAUCUACUCUGUCGUGGGGGAUAACGUAGGGAAACUUACGCUAAUACCGCAUACGACCUACGGGUGAAAGCAGGGGCCCUUCGGGCCUUGCGCGAUUGAAUGAGCCGAUGUCGGAUUAGCUAGGUGGCGGGGUAAAGGCCCACCAAGGCGACGAUCCGUAGCUGGUCUGAGAGGAUGAUCAGCCACACUGGAACUGAGACACGGUCCAGACUCCUACGGGAGGCAGCAGUGGUGAAUAUUGGACAAUGGGCGCAAGCCUGAUCCAGCCAUACCGCGUGGGUGAAGAAGGCCUUCGGGUUGUAAAGCCCUUUUGUUGGGAAAGAAAUCCAGCUGGCUAAUACCCGGUUGGGAUGACGGUACCCAAAGAAUAAGCACCGGCUAACUUCGUGCCAGCCGCCGCGGUAA
rnacentral:rRNA from 1 species